rnacentral:tRNA from 1 species
GGGCGCUUAGCUCAGUUGGCUAGAGCCACCGGCUCAUAACCGGUCGGUCGUAGGUUCGAGUCCUACAGCGCCCACCA